CAAUGACCUUCAUAUACAGCCGUAUUUACAUAAUGUCAAGGCAGACUUAAUAGGUUUACGACAAUACAAGGACAUGAGGGGAAACCCAGAUCCUUCAAACGACAAAACUUUCUGUUACAGGGUAAGGGCUACUAUGGCAAUGGCAUUACCGAUUAUUUGUGACUUUUAGGUAUUUUCUUUACAGAGGAUGAGGCCGAGUGGAGGUGAUCUGGUGGUGAUCCGGAAACCAAAUGAGGCCCGGUGAGCGACCGCUUGUUUGGGCAAAUUUCCUCGCAACCUUUUGUACUUAGAGAGGGGGUUAUUUUUAGUAUCGCUGAGCUCUGCUAAUCUAUAGCGUUCGAAUGGCAAAAGUUGAAUAGCUCUAUGUGCGUCGGUUGGCUUCAUGCAAAUAACACAGGUUGAUUCGCUAGGAUCUCAAACUCGCAGAAAUUGAUCGGCUGAAAACAGAUCCUGAUCAGGAAAAAGAAAAGAGAAAAACAAUGCGCCUUUGGUGGGCACCCUAGCGCGAACUGUUAAUGUUACCAAACUGCUUGCACGUAUCUCGUAUUUGUUGUCCUGGUUGACUAUUAUCACCAAGUGUUUGAUGUCUGACGCUACAUACUAUAACACAGCACUGUGGGUGCGGAACGAGAGAAUACCCAAGUGCCCCUCGCAUCGGAAAUCGGUUGAUGCCAGUUGGAAUAUUCAUCAUUAUGAAUGCAUAUCCUAGUGUCAG
rnacentral:sRNA from 1 species